UUACAAAAUAUUUGCUUUAAUAAGGAGUAAAAAGUCUUUUUGUUAAAUAAGCAGUGAUAUCUGAAAAAGUUAUAGUAAUAUUUCUUCCAUAUGCUUAAUUCAGCUUAUUGUUCAAGUGAUAAUCCGAAACUUCAACCACCAUGGUUGAAUCAUCCAAAACAUUUGGUUUCAGACAGCGGACAUGAUUUCGCCAAAUCUUUGAAUAUCAAGACAGUUUUGUAGGCAGCUGCUACAGCUAUGUUUUCGAUUUACCGUGCUCAACUUGGUCCCGAGCGAGCUGGAUAAUCGAGGUUCAAAUGUAUUUCUUAAAUUUAUGUUUGCGCCAGAUAUUUUAAAGCCAACAAAGCAUAAAAUAAAAUUACUGCUAUGCUAUUGGAGCUAUAUCAGUUCUGGUCCCAUUCGGACCAUAAUAGAAUUGAAUGUUGGAGACCAUAGUGCAAUAGAAGUCAUUGUGUGAAAUUUCAGCCAAUUCAAUGGUUACGAAAAUAUAAACGAAAUUAAAUGAAAGCAAUGGAACAGCGGCAACUCCCAUAACCGCAAUAGCAGCUGGACAGCAAAUAAGUAUUUUAUGGUGAUACCCUAGAAAACUAGCGAUUGUUCAAGUUUUAAAUUCAUGACCAAGGGUGAUGAUAUAUCAUUUGCUAAGCUGCUGAUGACGUUAGGGAAGAAAAUAAAUGUUUCGAUGUUUAUUCAAACUGUGUGUCAAUAUGUGUUUUAUACACUUCUAGCACAGAGAAGAAUUGUCGCCAUUUGAUAAAACUUUUAAAUAUGCAAUAAUUUUUUUUCGAU